rnacentral:rRNA from 1 species
CUACGGGCCGCUGCAGUGGGGAAAUUUGGACAAUGGGCGCAAGCCUGAUCCAGCCAUUCCGCGUGAGUGAAGAAGGCCUUCGGGUUGUAAAGCUCUUUCGCAAGGGAAGAAAACUUAUCCUCUAACAUAGGGUGAGGUUGACGGUACCUUGAUAAGAAGCACCGGCUAACUACGUGCCAGCAGCCGCGGUAAUACGUAGGGUGCGAGCGUUAAUCGGAAUUACUGGGCGUAAAGCGUGCGCAGGCUGUUUUGUAAGUCAGAUGUGAAAUCCCCGAGCUCAACUUGGGAACUGCGUUUGAAACUACAAGACUAGAAUAUGGCAGAGGGGGGUAGAAUUCCAUGUGUAGCAGUGAAAUGCGUAGAGAUGUGGAGGAAUACCAAUGGCGAAGGCAGCCCCCUGGGAUAAUAUUGACGCUCAUGCACGAAAGCGUGGGGAGCAAACAGGAUUAGAUACCCUCGUAGUC